UCUACUCCUUGUGUGUCUGCAGCUCCUUCUACAGAUUGGAUCUAAGGUUUCUCAGCAUUGUCCAGGAUGAUUUAUGGUUGUCUUGGUUGAUUUUUAUGGGGUACUCAUGCCUGUGUUAUACUGGUAAAGCCUGCCCUUGAUAUAAGACACUGACAGAUAUAAGACACUGACCAGUUUCAAUUCAGGUUCAGUUUACAAAGAAGGAAAAAGCAUGGUCAAUUUUUCUUGGCUCUUUGUCUCCCACUGUAUCAUAUGAAUGGCAGUUCACUGGUGAUAGUUGUUGUCAAGCUCUGAGGGGAAGUCACCCUGAGCACUGUUGUCUGAGGCAGUAUGCGAGUGAAGACCGCUGCGAUUCUACUCUGUCUGUUACUUUCUCCAAACGAGCAUUUCAGAUCUCUCUGGUCUAAAGUGUGGACUUCCACAGGUCCGGAACCGCCUUGACUGUUAUUUGAGAAUUGUUGGAGGCAAGAUAUAGAUAACCACCCCUGGUUGACCAUAUUUCUACCUCUGCCCAGUGAGCGCUUCCUGCCCAGGACCAGCUGGCUUGUGAGUGGAUUGGAAUGGACAAUAGAACAUGGAGACCUAGCUCGAUCCCAGAUCUUUUAUGCAGUCGGUGUCACAAUGACCACGCGGAUUUGCUAAGAUGGCACCAACGGAUAUGGGAUCAGGCUAAUGGAAACCCACUGUACCCACAUUCAGCUGGUCGUCUACCUGCCAUUCCGAGAGGUGCAGCUGGAGUUGGUGGAGCCAGCUAAGUGCAAGUAUGUUCUCCAGACCCUGAGACCCCCACAGCAGGCCCGCUGUGUGCUGGACUAGAGAGAGAGAGGGUAAGGACACCUGCCAGGUAGGCUACAACACAGCAUGCUGUCUGACUCUGCAUGUCAAAAUCUAUAACAGUGUUAUUAUGCUUCAGUGGUCUCUGUCCAGUGUCUGGUGGAGGAUCUCUGGGUAUUUUCAGUCAUAACAGUUCCUCUGUUCAGACUUCCCAUCAUUCCUUUGAGAGGUCCUUUAUCAGAUAGUGUUGUAUUCUCCCAUGUCCAGCGGGACUCUGGGGGUCCUCUGAUCUACCCCAGAGAGGAUGGCCACUGGGCCAUGGUGGGGGUCACCUCCUGGGUAAAGGCUGUGGCCGGAGCCAGAUCAACAACAAGGCCGAGUCCCCAGCCAAGAUAGGAUCCCCGGGGGCCUUUACUGAUGUCAAGAUGCUCCUGCCUUGGAUCAAGAGGAAACUCGGAAAGUCAUCUAACACGUUUUAGUCAGUGUGAGCCAUGCAGGUCUACAAUGAACCUUUACUGUAUGAUGUGACUGUCGUCUUUGAACAGUGCAUUUGAUGCUGAUUGUGUGUGUACUGUGCUGCAUGACUUUGCAGUGAGGGAUGGGCCUGUGAGGGUCUCAAACCCAAACCUUACAGUCUGUCUCGACAACAACGAGUGGGUGUCAGUGUACAGGCCCGUUGCAUAGGGGGAGGGAGAGCUGUGCUGAAUUGAAUGCUCUUUAAUUAAAUACGCUUUUAGGCCAAUUUACUCACCACUUGACAGCUGUCAUGGGCAGCAGGUAGCCAAGCUGUUAGACAGGCGAGCAGGCAGCCAGAGGGUUGCUGUUAUCAAAUCCUAGAUUCCAUUUCCUCUGUUGUGCCCUUGAGCAAGGCACUUAAUGCCUCACAACAACAGCCCCCUGGGCGCCCAGUGUGGAAGCCCCCCCACACCUCUCCAAAAACCUGUAUGCAUGUACUGUAAGUCAAAUUUUGGUUGGACCUUGUGUGCAAUUGACCAAUAAAGUGAUCUUAAUCAGUUUAGUCAAAAGGUGGAAUACUUGUGAGUUUUUUUCACAAAGUAAUAGAUUGACCCUGUAGGAAUAGAUAUACCUUAGAUUAAACUGUUCUUGGAACAUCAAAUGCAUCCAAUCAGUUUUCCAUACUGAUUCUUUGUCUCUGUCUCUCUCUGUGUAUAGUGGCAAGAAAACGUAUGUGAACCCUUGGAUUUAAUAACUGGUUGACCCUCCUUUGGCAGUAAUAACCUCAACCAAAUGUUUUCUGUAGUUGUGGAUCAGACCUGCAGAAUGGUCAGAAUGAAUUUUGAACUAGUCCUCUUUACAAAACUUUCAGUUCAGCAAUAUUCUUGGGAUGUCUGGUGUGAACCGCUCUCUUGAGGUCAUGCCACAGCAUCUCAAUCGGGUUGAGGUCAGUACUCUGACUGGGCCACUCCAGAAGGCGUAUUUUCUUUUGUUGAAGCCAUUCGGUUUUACUUCUCUGUUUUGGGUCGUUGUCCUGUUGCAUCACCCAACUUCUGUUGAGCUUCAAUUGGCGGACAGGUAGCCUUUACAUUCUCCUGCAAAAUGUCUUGAUAAAAUGAAUUCCCAAGUUUUCUGACAACGAUGGCAAGCUCUCCAGGCACUGAGGCAGCCACACUCCACCACACUUGACAGUUGCGGUGAGGUUUUGAUGUUGGUGUGCUGUGCCUUUUCUUCUUCUUCUUUUCCACACAUAUCUUGUGUGUUCCUUCCAAACUGGACUUUCAUCUGUCCACAGAAUAUUAUACCAGUAGCGCUGUGCAACAUACUGGUGCACUUUGGCAAACUUCAGACGUGCAGCAAUGUUUUUUUUUUGGACAGCAGUGGCUUUCGUGGUGUCCUCCCAUGAACACCAUUCUUGUUUAAUGUUAUACGUAUCAUAGACUCGUCAACACCCUCUGUCACAGUGACCAGCUCACAGUAUUUGUGGGUUCAGACUCCGAGUAGCCUAUUGGUGAGAGAUGAGGUGGCGUUGACCCUAGUUUUACCCUUCCCACCAGUUGAUUUAGAGGGUUUUGACUUUGAUCUCACAUUGGCUUUCUCUCAGUGGUAGAAAAAGUACCCAAUUGUCAUACCUUAGUAAAAGUAAAGAUACCUUAAUAGAAAAUGACUAAAUAGAAAAUGACUACUUGAGUAAAAGUCUAAAAGUAUUUGGUUUUAAACAUUUUUUUUCACCUUUAUUUAACCAGGUAGGCAAGUUGAGAACAAGUUCUCAUUUACAAUUGCGACCUGGCCAAGAUAAAGCAAAGCAGUUCGACACAUACAACAACACAGAGUUACACAUGGAGUAAAACAAACAUACAGUCAAUAAUACAGUAGAAAAAUAAGUCUAUAUACAUACUUUAGUAUCAAAAGUAAAUGUAAUUGCUCAAAUAUACCUAAGAAUCAAAAGUUAAAUCCUUUCACAUUCCUUAUAUUAAGAACCAGAUGACACCAUUUUAUUUGCUUCUUUUUUUUUAAAGGAUAUCCAGGGGCACACAUAAUUGACAAAUUAAGCAUUUGUGUUUUAGUGAGUUCGUCAGAUCAGAGGCAGUAGGGAUAACCAGGGAUGUUCUCUUGAGAAGUGUAUGAAUUGGACCAUUUUCCUGUCCUGAUAAGCAUGUGAAAUGUAACGAGUACUUUUGGGUGUCAGGGAAAAUGUAUGGAGUAAAAAGUACAUUGUUUUCUUUAGGAAUGUAGUAAAGUAAAAGUUGUCAAAAAUAUUAAUAGUAAUGUACAGAUACCCAAAAAAACAACUUAAGUAAAAAUACUUUAAAGUACUACUUAAGUAUUUUUACACCACUGGGUUCUCUUAGGAAGGUUCUGUGCCACUUUGUGUCUGACGUCAGUGGAACAGGAAGCAGAUUUGUUGUUAGAUUCCGAGGUGUAACCUCUAUGUCAGGCCAUGCAUACUUGGCUCGCCAAGCCUAACCCCACUCACCCCAGGGAUAGAAAAAAUCUCAGAGUUAACAACAGAAUAUUAAACCAGUUACCAUUGCAGAAGUGCUCUAUGUCAAAACUGUGUUUUUGGAUUAUAAAAAUGACAGACUGAAACUGAUGGCUGGAUCCUCAUAGCAUUUGUUUUCUGCUAAAUAAUUAUUUAGUUCUCUGUUUAUACUGCAAAUGCCUGUGUAUUGUGUUCGUGACAUGAUGAUAGAGUACGGUGUUUGGCAAAGCUAUGUGCUGGGUCUCAUGUUUCAUCACCAUGCCUGAUGACUGGAUGUGUCUAGUCCCUCAGAGUUCCUGACAAUGGAUAGGCUCCCUACUCUCUUUCAAUCCUAGCAGAGCCCUCCACCUUGUUAGCCACACACCCUCCAAGUGCUGCUAGUCAGACAUGUGCAAGUAUGCACACACGCAUAUACACACAUCCCCAUGGGGCUAACUGAAUUCUAAUUCCAAAUUCUAUAGCUGACUCUCCCAUAGUUACAGAGCAUUCAGAGGGCACACAGCAGUCCCAUGACCAGGCAAUGAGGUGCAGAGGGUCUGUGAUAAACACAAACUCCUCUACUGUAACUACACCACGUGGGUCAGAAACAGGAGCCAAGAUGGCUGGCUGACAGUGUUUGUGUUGUAUGGAGGCACAUGUAUUGUCAAGGGUUAAGUGUGUGACAGGGUGCGUGUAGAGCCACAGGCAGGGCUUGUGGCUAAUAAUAUGUCCUUUGUGUUUGUGCAGCGUCGGGAUGUGGCACCGUGGCACUAGUCCAGGAUCAGAGGGCCAUUCAGAGUUUCAACUACCCACAAUCCUACAGCAACAACUCUGACUACCACUGGGUCAUCUAUGCCCCCCAGGAUCAUGUUGUCAAGGUGACACAUGUUGACCUAUACCUCUUAUGCAGAGGGGGCUUUAAUAUUUUGUGUAUUGUCCUGUGCAAGGCCAUUGUGACCGAAGGGAUACCCCAGAUCUCUGAUUGCUCCCAGUGGAAUCAUGAAUACGGUCUCUGGUGUGGAUGGGAUCAGUUUACCUGUACUGGAAAGAAUGUAUUACUCACUUUGAUGCAACCAUAACAACAAUAAUAACAGCAACAGACUGCAAUAGUGUUGCUGCACAUGUCACGUUUUUUUGGCUGAAAUUACAAUUAUUUAAGAGUUUACUUACAGCUUAGUGCAAGGAUGAUGUUGUAUUCCUUUGUUAUUUUAUUCUCUUAUCUUGCGGCGUGACUUCGAUGACUUUGACUUGGAGCAGUCAGAUGACUGCAGUCUGAUUCGCUGAUUUGUACUUCGGAGAUGUGGACGCAAAUAAAACUUUUUUUGUCACAUACA